rnacentral:lncRNA from 1 species
CCCAUUUCCAGCUCAGUUGGUAGUUGACAGUCAAGAGAACAACAUGUUCUCCUGCUGUGUCCCGACAUGCUGCCGACCUCCUCAUCGCAGAAGAGGCCAAAAUGAGACUGUUUCCCAAGAAUAUAGACAUUGGUUCAACCCUCACCCUCGAUGCCUCUGGCCCUUUGCCAGAAGGCACCCAUAGAGCUCCACACAGCAGAUCAAGCAGGAGCUGUUGGAUGGAUUCCAUUUCUCCAUCUUCUUCAAAGAAGGGCAGGGGUCCCCUGCUACCAACCACGGCCAGUGCUGGUCUGGGCACCACCUCCUCCAUUUUGUUCACCUGGCCCCCUGAAAACACUUCAGUUUGCUGCCAGGCCCUGCAACGGUCAUAUUUCUGGAUAAAGCUGGCCUUCAGGACCUUCACCUGGCCUGGACUGGACUUGGAGGACCAUCAGGAAAUUGUGCUAGGCCAGUUGGUGCUUCCAGAGCCCAAGGAGGCCAAGCCAAAAGAUCCUGCUCCACCUCCUAGGCAACACGCAUUAUCAAUGCUGGCCCUGGAGCCAGCACCACCACUGCUGGCAGACCUGCAGCCUGCUCUGGAGUCAGAGUCAUGUGCAACCCUGGAUGCACCAGGAUAUUUAUGUUCAGCAUCAGCACCAGCACUGGCACCAUGGGAAGGGCCUCCUCCAGGAACAGUGCUGGAGCCGCAGUUAGCCCCAGAGUCCCUCUGUCCCUGUCACUGGGGUGACUUUUGGCAGUCCCGUGACAUCACGACCUUCCCUCCCAGGCUGCUGGCAGAGCAGCUGACCCUCAUGGAUGCGGUGAGCAGCUGGGCUUUCCAGGCUGUGCCUCUGGCACCAGCUGGCUCAGACCAGCCUCUCCCUGAGGAGCGGCCAAUGCCCUGGGUCCAAUUUCAGCCCCACUUCUUACCAACCAUGGGAUCUGGAUGA